rnacentral:lncRNA from 1 species
GGAUUCCAAGGCUCCACAAGUUGUCAAGAAUAACUUUAGACUUUGCUGGGAAUGCAAUAUCUUCUGACAAGGAGGAGUUGGCUGGAACAGCCUGGGCUCUGUACCUGUCCCUCAGAUGUCCUUUGGUGCUUUAGCCCAGUGACUCAUCGAUCUCCCAGGUAUAAAACCCAGGGUGGGCUUCUUUCUGGGGUCCUUCGGCUGCAGUACAAGUGGGGCAUGCACAGAUGAGACUCCAUCUACCCUGGGAAGCUCUCCUGAGCCUUGGGGGACUGGCUUGUCAUGAAUCCUUGGCUUUAGUUGUCCCUUGUUGUGUAUUUCUAAUGAAUAAACCUGUUGCAUAUAACUUGUGUGUAUGAGUGUUCUGUCUCAUCUGACUCAGGACAGUAGUAAAAAUGCAAUGUAAGAUGCAGUGAGCUCAAGUGGUACCAGUGUACUGUGAAUGCACUUUGUGCUGCCAUGCUGGGGUUCAGAGCAGGCAUCCAUGUCUAGAGCUACAUAUGGAGACCAAACAGAAAAUAGAGGUAAAAGCCCUGUUGUAGGGACAGGGCCAACAUGGCGGG